GAGAGUAUAGCUCAAAUGGUAGAGUGCAUGCUUAGCAUGCACAAGGUCCUGGGUUCAAUCCCCAGCACCUCCA
rnacentral:tRNA from 1 species